rnacentral:tRNA from 1 species
CGGGCUGUGGCGCAGUUUGGUUAGCGCGCAUCACUGGGGGUGAUGAGGUCGCUGGUUCAAAUCCAGUCAGCCCGACCA